rnacentral:misc_RNA from 1 species
GAAACCAAUCACCACCUCCUCUUUGGGAGCGUGGUGGACAGUUUGUGCCUUCGUCAGAUUUGUGCUUCGGUGCAUCUGCAGACGUGGCAUUAAGUACAUGAGCAUACCUUCGGUCGGGCGCAUGCGCCUGAUAGACGUGACGAAAUGGUCUCUCUAAGAGCCUUACCUCCGUCUAUCUCUGAAGGUUAACCUCUCCAUGGCUGAAGAUAAACAAGCUUCGUGUAAGCCUGUUUGCCUUCAACAUUAACUCCUUU